AUUGAACGCUGGCGGCAUGCUUUACACAUGCAAGUCGAACGGUAACAGGUUAAGCUGACGAGUGGCGAACGGGUGAGUAAUGCAUCGGAACGUGCCCGGUCGUGGGGGAUAACGCAGCGAAAGCUGCGCUAAUACCGCAUACGAUCUAAGGAUGAAAGCGGGGGACCGUAAGGCCUCGCGCGAUCGGCGCGGCCGAUGUCAGAUUAGGUAGUUGGUGGGGCAAAGGCUCACCAAGCCAACGAUCUGGAGCUGGUCUGAGAGGACGACCAGCCACACUGGGACUGAGACACGGCCCAGACUCCUACGGGAGGCAGCAGUGGGGAAUUUUGGACAAUGGGCGAAAGCCUGAUUCAGCCAUGCCGCGUGCAGGAUGAAGGCCUUCGGGUUGUAAACUGCUUUUGUACGGAACGAAAAGACUCUUUCUAAUAAAGAGGGUCCAUGACGGUACCGUAAGAAUAAGCACCGGCUAACUACGUGCCAGCAGCCGCCGUAA
rnacentral:rRNA from 1 species